GUAGGUGGUAAGUAAACUGGCUCCGAACUCAAAUAAAAAGGAAAUCGAAUACUAACUACGUCUUUUAGAACCUGCGGAAGGAUCAUUAAAAGAGAGCCCGGGGUGCCUUUUUUGGCCCCCAGACCUCCCACCCUUUGUGAACGUACCUUGAGUUGCUUUGGCGGGGCGUGGCCAGAAAUGGUCCCGCUGGUCCCCUUCGCCCGGG
rnacentral:misc_RNA from 1 species